rnacentral:misc_RNA from 1 species
AAAAAAAAAAAAAAAAAACUUUGUUGCUGGGAGUAACAGUAGUGUUUAUGUUUCAUUUUCAUGGUUUUCCACAUAAAAUUCACCAAAAAAAAAGGCAUUUAUGUUCCUCAAAGGCAUGCAUGAGACUGUUUUAUUGUGCUUCUUAUAUUAUUUGAAAUUUUCUUGCAGCCUAAUGCUGAAACCGAAGAUAAUAUAACUCCAUUAUUGUCAGCUGUUGCUGCUGAUUCAUUAGCUUGCUUAGAAUCAUUAGUUCAGCUUGUUGAUCUUGCAAAUUGUGAAGUGAAAAUUCUGAUACUUUUUUGGAGAUUAGAGCUUUAGGAUGAUGUCAAAGGCAGGUGCUGAUGUGAAUGUUAUUGCUGGUGGAGCUACCCCAUUGCAUAUUGCUGCUGAUAAUGGGAGCUCAGAAAUCUUGAACUGUUACUAAAAGCUGGGGCUGAUCCUAAUGUUGUUGAUGAGGAUGGCCAGAAACCAAUACAGGUUGCUGCAACAAGAGGCAAUCGUGCAGCUGUUGAGAUCCUUUUUCCCUUGACGGCAAAAGUUCACACUAUCCCAGAGUGGACUGUUGAUGGAAUUCUUGGAUACAUGCAGUCUGAAACUAACAAACAACUGGAAGAAAUGAGGAAUCUGAGGGAAGUAAUUGCUGCAGAGGGCUCUGCUGUACCAACAAAUGCUCUCCCUGAGGCAAUUGAUCUAGACCCUACUGGUGCCAUUUUGCUUCAAAUAGAAGCCUUUGUUGGAUGCGCUUGGGACAACCAGAGCAAGCAUUAACUGAUGCAAAGGCUUGCAGAGCAUUAAGACCAGAUUGGUCAAAAGCUUGCUAUCGGGAAGGCGAAGCUUUGCGUGUAUUGCAGAGGUUCAGUGAAGCAGCAAAUUCAUUUUAUCAGGGUGUGAAGCUUGAUCAUGACAAUAAGGAACUCGUUUCAGCAUUUAGGUUUGCGAUUAGAUGCUCCUCAUUUUUUUUUUCCCUAUUUUGUUUUCUCUUCCUCCUUUCUUCGCCUUCAUUAAUUGUCAUCACGACAUGGCUACACCAUCAAUAAUUGCUUUUAAUAUCCUCUUCUCAUCCUAAGCAAGUCAGGAUGCACUAUAUUAUCUGUUUGCAAGUUAAUCAGAAAAAAACUUUCACUAGCGAUAUUAAAAGGCUGGAAAGCCAAUUGAAAAUGAUUGGUGAGGACGGAAGGAAGAAAUAAGAUUAUUGAGGAACUCAAAAUUAUAGCCACAGUUCCGUGGUUGUUCCACAAUAAUAUUAAAGUUGUGUUUGCUUGAGUUGCAUUACAUUUUUGUACUCGGGAGAAUUUUGGGCACUAUAAAAGAACAAUGAAUGAAUUUCUUACUGCUACAUGGGCACAUCAGAUUUUCUCGUCUGGAUACCUUGUAAAGCCCUAGGUCUUUUGAAACACUGCUUAAUUGGUGACUUCCAUGCAUUGGGGCUAGCUAGUGUCCUUUCUGCAUCAAUGUUAUGUAGUUUUAAUUUUUCAACUUUGGCGACCUUUAUAGGGAAGCUGUUGAAGAUGGGAGAAGGUUUUAUGGUACAGAUCAAGAAAGAUCAUAACAUCUUCAUUGGCAAAUGAACACCAAAAACAUAGACAAAAAGUUGUGAACGACUGCUAUGCAUUAUCCCCUUUUUCCCCAUCCCCCUUUACCCUUCUUUAUACUUAGUGAGCAACUGUAAGUAUAUCUUUGUUUUGUGAGAAAGCUCCAUGGAAAAGAGAAAAAGAGAGAUUGUGUACAAAUGAGCUAACAAUAUUUAACAGAUAAUUAACAUGUUGGCUGUGUUCUCUCAAUUUUUGUAAUAAAUCGAUGCAUUUUUGUUGUGGGUUUUCUUUGAUUUGAAUAAAUUUGUGGAUUCUCUUA